GACGAACGCUGGCGGCGUGCUUAACACAUGCAAGUCGAACGGUAAGGCCCUUCGGGGUACACGAGUGGCGAACGGGUGAGUAACACGUGGGUGAUCUGCCCUGCACUUCGGGAUAAGCCUGGGAAACGGGGUCUAAUACCAUAUAGGACAACUUCUUGGAUGUUGUGAUGGAAAGCUUUUGCGGUGUGGGAUGAGCCUGCGGCCUAUCAGCUUGUUGGUGGGGUAAUGGCCUACCAAGGCGGCGACGGGUAUCCGGCCUGAGAGGGUGUACGGACACAUUGGGACUGAGAUACGGCCCAGACUCCUACGGGAGGCAGCAGUGGGGAAUAUUGCACAAUGGGCGCAAGCCUGAUGCAGCGACGCCGCGUGGGGGAUGACGGCCUUCGGGUUGUAAACUCCUUUCGCUAUCGACGAAGCCACCUUGGGUGGUGACGGUAGGUAGAUAAGAAGCACCGGCUAACUACGUGCCAGCCGCCGCGGUAA
rnacentral:rRNA from 1 species